AUGGAGCUUGGGCUGAGCUGGCUUUUCCUGUUUGCGAUUCUGAGAGGUGUCCAGGGAGCGGAGCAGCUGGUGGAGUCCAGAGGAGACUUGGUGCAGCCUGGAAGUUCUCUGAGACUCUCCUGCAUGGCCUCGGGAUUCACCUUCAGUAAUUAUGACAUGCACUGGAUCCGUCAAUCUCCAGGAAAAGAGCUGGAGUGGAUCUCAGUUAUCUGGUACGACGGUAGUAAAACGUACUAUGCAGACUCCGUGAGGGGCCAAUUCACCAUCUCCAGAGACAACAGCAAGAAUACACUGUAUCUGCAGGUGAGCAGCCUGCGACCCGAGGACAUGGCCAUGCAUUACUACUGUGCAGCAAGCACAGAGAGGGAACAUUGUUUUGAACCCAGACAAAACCUCACUGUGGGGAAGGUCAUGCCAGCAGGGAUUGCUGUGGUCCAGGAAGAACCAGGCCAGGCCCCAGGAGCAGUUGCAGAGAAGGAAGCAGGAGGUUAG